AGUGAACGCUGGCGGUAGGCCUAACACAUGCAAGUCGAACGGCAGCACAGUAAGAGCUUGCUCUUACGGGUGGCGAGUGGCGGACGGGUGAGGAAUACAUCGGAAUCUACUUUUUCGUGGGGGAUAACGUAGGGAAACUUACGCUAAAACCGCAUACGACCUACGGGUGAAAGCAGGGGAUCUUCGGACCUUGCGCGAUUGAAUAAGCCGAUGUCGGAUUAGCUAGUUGGCUGGGUAAAGGCCCACCAAGUCGACGAUCCGUAGCUGGUCUGAGAGGAUGAUCAGCCACACUGGAACUGAGACACGGUCCAGACUCCUACGGGAGGCAGCAGUGGGGAAUAUUGGACAAUGGGCGCAAGCCUGAUCCAGCCAUAACGCGUGGGUGAAGAAGGCCUUCGGGUUGUAAAGCCCUUUUGUUGGGAAAGAAAAGCAGCAGGUUAAUACCCCGCUGUUCUGACGGUACCAAAAGAAUAAGCACCGGCUAACUUCGUG
rnacentral:rRNA from 1 species